rnacentral:rRNA from 1 species
GUGGCGCACGGGUGAGUAAUACAUAAGAAUCUGCCUUUCUGUGGAGAAUACCCUGGAGAAAUUCAGGUUAAUACUGCAUAAGCCGGAAACGGGAAAGGUGGCCUCAAGCUACCGCAGAAAGAUGAGCUUAUGUCCUAUCAGCUAGUUGGUGAGGUAAAGGCUCACCAAGGCUAAGACGGGUAACCGGCCUGAGAGGGUGAUCGGUCACACUGGAACUGAGACACGGUCCAGACUCCUACGGGAGGCAGCAGUGGGGAAUUUUGCACAAUGGGCGCAAGCCUGAUGCAGCGACGCCGCGUGGAGGAUGAAGGUUUUCGGAUUGUAAACUCCUGUUAAGUGGGAAGAAAGACCCUUGUCUAAUAAAUAAGGGGGAUGACGGUACCACUAGAGAAAGCACCGGCAAACUUCGUGCCAGCAGCCGCGGUAAUACGAAGGGUGCGAGCGUUAUUCGGAAUGACUGGGCGUAAAGAGCUUGAAGGCGGUCUGUUAAGUCGUCUGUUAAAGAGCCUAGCUUAACUGGGCAAGUGCGGAUGAAACUGGUGGACUAGAGUACAGAAGAGAAAGGUAGAAUUCUCGGAGUAGCGGUAAAAUGCGUAGAUCUCGAGAGGAAUACCGGUUGCGAAGGCGGCCUUUUGGUCUGUUACUGACGCUGUAGAGCGAAAGCGUGGGGAGCAAACAGGAUUAGAUACCCUGGUAGUCCAC